AUUGAACGCUGGCGGAAUGCUUUACACAUGCAAGUCGAACGGCAGCACGGACUUCGGUCUGGUGGCGAGUGGCGAACGGGUGAGUAAUAUAUCGGAACGUGCCCAGUCGUGGGGGAUAACGUAGUGAAAAUUACGCUAAUACCGCAUACGAUCUACGGAUGAAAGCGGGGGAUCGCAAGACCUCGCGCGAUUGGAGCGGCCGAUAUCAGAUUAGGUAGUUGGUGAGGUAAAGGCUCACCAAGCCGACGAUCUGUAGCUGGUCUGAGAGGACGACCAGCCACACUGGGACUGAGACACGGCCCAGACUCCUACGGGAGGCAGCAGUGGGGAAUUUUGGACAAUGGACGCAAGUCUGAUCCAGCCAUUCCGCGUGCAGGACGGAGGCCUUCGGGUUGUAAACUGCUUUUGUACAGAACGAAAAGGUCUCUACUAAUACUAGGGGCUCAUGACGGUACUGUAAGAAUAAGCACCGGCUAACUACGUGCCAGCAGCCGCGGUAA
rnacentral:rRNA from 1 species